rnacentral:rRNA from 1 species
AGUGAACGCUGGCGGUAGGCCUAACACAUGCAAGUCGAACGGCAGCACAGUAAGAGCUUGCUCUUACGGGUGGCGAGUGGCGGACGGGUGAGGAAUACAUCGGAAUCUACUUUUUCGUGGGGGAUAACGUAGGGAAACUUACGCUAAUACCGCAUACGACCUACGGGUGAAAGCAGGGGAUCUUCGGACCUUGCGCGAUUGAAUGAGCCGAUGUCGGAUUAGCUAGUUGGCGGGGUAAAGGCCCACCAAGGCGACGAUCCGUAGCUGGUCUGAGAGGAUGAUCAGCCACACUGGAACUGAGACACGGUCCAGACACCUACGGGAGGCAGCAGUGGGGAAUAUUGGACAAAGGGCGCAAGCCUGAUCCAGCCAUACCGCGUAGGUGAAGAAGGCCUUCGGGUUGUAAAGCCCUUUUGUUGGGAAAGAAAAGCAGCAGGUUAAUACCCCGCUGUUCUGACGGUACCCAAAGAAUAAGCACCGGCUAACUUCGUG